ACACCGGCCGCCCAAGUGGUGGCCAUUUUUAUUGGGCCUAAAGCGUUCGUAGCCGGCCUGAUAAGUCUCUGGUGAAAUCCCGCAGCUUAACUGUGGGAAUUGCUGGAGAUACUAUCAGGCUUGAGGUCGGGAGAGGUUAGAGGUACUCCCAGGGUAGGGGUGAAAUCCUAUAAUCCUGGGAGGACCACCUGUGGCGAAGGCGUCUAACUGGAACUAACCGGACGGGGAGUAACGAAAGCCAGGGGCGCGAACCGUGUUAGAUACCCGGGUAGUCCUGGCCGUAAACGAUGUGGACUUGGUGUUGGGAUGGCCUCGAGCUGCCCAAGUGCCGAAGGGAAGCUGUUAAGUCCACCGCCUGGGAAGUACGGUCGCAAGACUGAAACUUAAAGGAAUUGACGGGG
rnacentral:rRNA from 1 species